AACGACUCUCGGCAACGGAUAUCUCGGCUCUCGCAUCGAUGAAGAACGUAGCGGAAUGCGAUACUUGGUGUGAAUUGCAGAAUCCCGUGAACCAUCGAGUCUUUGAACGCAAGUUGCGCCCCAAGCCUUCUGGCCGAGGGCACGUCUGCCUGGGUGUCACGCA
rnacentral:rRNA from 1 species